AGCUACUAAGAGCGAAUGGUGGAUGCCUUGACUGGUAAAGGCGAUGAAGGACGUACUAGACUGCGAUAAGCUACGGGGAGCUGUCAAGAAGCUUUGAUCCGUAGAUUUCCGAAUGGGGCAACCCAAUGUAUAGAGAUAUACAUUACCUAUAUAGGAGCGAACGAGGGGAAUUGAAACAUCUUAGUACCCUCAGGAAAAGAAAUCAAUAGAGAUUGCGUCAGUAGCGGCGAGCGAAAGCGCAAGAGGGCAAACCCAGUGCUUGCACUGGGGGUUGUAGGACUGCAAUGUGCAAGAGGUGAGUUUAGCAGAACAUUCUGGAAAGUAUAGCCAUAGAGGGUGAUAGUCCCGUAUGCGAAAAACAAACCUUAGCUAGCAGUAUCCUGAGUAGGGCGGGACACGAGGAAUCCUGUCUGAAUCCGGGUCGACCACGAUCCAACCCUAAAUACUAAUACCAGAUCGAUAGUGCACAAGUACCGUGAGGGAAAGGUGAAAAGAACUGAGGUGAUCAGAGUGAAAUAGAACCUGAAACCAUUUGCUUACAAUCAUUCAGAGCCCUAUGUAGCAAUACAGGGUGAUGGACUGCCUUUUGCAUAAUGAGCCUGCGAGUUGUGGUGUCUGGCAAGGUUAAGCAAACGCGAAGCCGUAGCGAAAGCGAGUCUGAAUAGGGCGCUUAGUCAGAUGCUGCAGACCCGAAACGAAGUGAUCUAUCCAUGAGCAAGUUGAAGCUAGUGUAAGAACUAGUGGAGGACUGAACCCAUAGGCGUUGAAAAGCCCCGGGAUGACUUGUGGAUAGGGGUGAAAGGCCAAUCAAACUUCGUGAUAGCUGGUUCUCUCCGAAAUAUAUUUAGGUAUAGCGUUGUGUCGUAAUAUAAGGGGGUAGAGCACUGAAUGGGCUAGGGCAUACACCAAUGUACCAAACCCUAUCAAACUCCGAAUACCUUAUAUGUAAUCACAGCAGUCAGGCGGCGAGUGAUAAAAUCCGUCGUCAAGAGGGAAACAACCCAGACUACCAGCUAAGGUCCCUAAAUCUUACUUAAGUGGAAAACGAUGUGAAGUUACUUAAACAACCAGGAGGUUGGCUUAGAAGCAGCCAUCCUUUAAAGAAAGCGUAAUAGCUCACUGGUCUAGUGAUUUUGCGCGGAAAAUAUAACGGGGCUAAAGUAAGUACCGAAGCUGUAGACUUGCGCACAACUUAGAUUAUUUAAGUUUAGAAUAUGAGAAACUAAGUUAUAUGUUUAGUUAUAUUUUUACUGAUUUUUAUAGAGUAAAGAUAGAAAUAAAACUUAGUAAAAUCAGUAAAAAUAUUCUUAGACUAAAGUUAAGUAGUUUAAGUUGUGUGCAAGUGGUAGGAGAGCGUUCUAUUUGCGUCGAAGGUAUACCGGUAAGGAGUGCUGGAGCGAAUAGAAGUGAGCAUGCAGGCAUGAGUAGCGAUAAUUAAUGUGAGAAUCAUUAACGCCGUAAACCCAAGGUUUCCUACGCGAUGCUCGUCAUCGUAGGGUUAGUCGGGUCCUAAGUCGAGUCCGAAAGGGGUAGACGAUGGCAAAUUGGUUAAUAUUCCAAUACCAACAUUAGUGUGCGAUGGAAGGACGCUUAGGGCUAAGGGGGCUAGCGGAUGGAAGUGCUAGUCUAAGGUCGUAGGAGGUUAUACAGGCAAAUCCGUAUAACAAUACUCCGAGAACUGAAAGGCUUUUUGAAGUCUUCGGAUGGAUAGAAGAACCCCUGAUGCCAUCGAGCCAAGAAAAGUUUCUAAGUUUAGCUAAUGUUGCCCGUACCGUAAACCGACACAGGUGGGUGGGAUGAGUAUUCUAAGGCGCGUGGAAGAACUCUCUUUAAGGAACUCUGCAAAAUAGCACCGUAUCUUCGGUAUAAGGUGUGGUUCGCUUCGUAUUAGGAUUUACUCCGAAAGCGAAGAAACUUACAACAAAGAGUCCCUCCCGACUGUUUACCAAAAACACAGCACUCUGCUAACUCGUAAGAGGAUGUAUAGGGUGUGACGCCUGCCCGGUGCUCGAAGGUUAAUUGAUGGGGUUAGCAUUAGCGAAGCUCUUGAUCGAAGCCCGAGUAAACGGCGGCCGUAACUAUAACGGUCCUAAGGUAGCGAAAUUCCUUGUCGGUUAAAUACCGACCUGCAUGAAUGGCGUAACGAGAUGGGAGCUGUCUCAAAGAGGGAUCCAGUGAAAUUGUAGUGGAGGUGAAAAUUCCUCCUACCCGCGGCAAGACGGAAAGACCCCGUGGACCUUUACUACAGCUUGACACUGCUAUUUGGAUAAGAAUGUGCAGGAUAGGUGGGAGGCUUUGAGUAUAUGACGCCAGUUGUAUAUGAGCCAUUGUUGAGAUACCACUCUUUCUUAUUUGGGUAGCUAACCAGCUUGAGUUAUCCUC
rnacentral:rRNA from 1 species